UUUAAGUGUUGCAAAUUUUUAUUCUGCUCUUUUCGACGUUUUAAAAUUUGAAAAACGUCGAAGGAGUCAGGAUAAAAAUUUUUGACACAAAUC